AACGCCUCUAAGUCAGAAUCCAU
rnacentral:misc_RNA from 1 species